UUCUUAUCAAGAGUCAGGGGAGGAACUGGUCCUACGAUCCUGCAGCAACCGCUUUGAAAAAAGAAAGGUGCUAAUUCCAGCAGAUGUUUUUCUAAUGUCUGAAAGAUGAGAA
rnacentral:ncRNA from 1 species